UACGUAGGUGGCGAGCGUUGUCCGGAAUCACUGGGCGUAAAGGGCGCGUAGGCGGCAAUACAAGUCGCAUGUGAAAUACCAGGGCUCAACCCUGGGGUGUCAUGCGAAACUGUAUAGCUUGAGUGCAGUAGAGGUAAGCGGAAUUCCUGGUGUAGCGGUAAAUGACGUAGAGAUCAGGAGGAACACCGGUGGCGAAGGCGGCUUACUGGCUGCAACUGACGCUGGAGGCGCGAAAGCUAGGGUAGCAAACGGG
rnacentral:rRNA from 1 species